AUUGAACGCUGGCGGCAGGCCUAACACAUGCAAGUCGAACGGCUGAACAGUGCUUGCUCGUGCUUUCGGGUGCCGACUGGUGGGUGAGUCCGAAAUACAUGGCAAUUUGCGUUGGAUAACGUCCGGACGCGGGCGCUCUUACGCUAUUAGUGCUGAGGGCCUACGUGUGAAAGCUUCGGACCUCCCGAUCUCACAUGAGCCUAGGUGCCGAUGGCGGAUUAGCUAGUUGGAGGGGUAAAGGCCCACCAAGGCGACGAUCCGUAGCUGGUCUGAGAGGAUGAUCAGCCACACUGGAACUGAGACACGGUCCAGACUCCUACGGGAGGCAGCAGUGGGGAAUAUUGGACAAUGGGCGAAAGCCUGAUCCAGCCAUGCCGCGUGUGUGAAGAAGGUCUUCGGAUUGUAAAGCACUUUUAGUUGGGAGGAAGGGCAGUAAGUUAAUACCUCGCUGUUUUGACGGUACCAACAGAAUAAGCACCGGCUAACUUCGUG
rnacentral:rRNA from 1 species